rnacentral:snRNA from 1 species
GUUGAAAGUGGGGUGACUUAUGCUAUAUACAAAGAAGAUUAGCAUGGCCCCUGUGCAAGGAUGAUAUGCAAAUUCAUGAAGCAUUCCGUAAUUAA